rnacentral:rRNA from 1 species
CCUACGGGGUGCAGCAGUAGGGAAUUUUCGUCAAUGGGCGCAAGCCUGAACGAGCAAUGCCGCGUGAACGAGGAAGGUCUUCGGAUCGUUAAGUUCUGUUGAUGGGGAAAAAGAGCGGAGAGAGGAAAUGGUCUCCGAUUGAUAUUACCCUUCGAGGAAGUCACGGCUAACUACGUGCCAGCAGCCGCGGUAAUACGUAGGUGGCGAGCGUUAUCCGGAAUGAUUGGGCGUAAAGGGUGCGUAGGCGGCCUGCUAAGUCUGGAGUGAAAGGUACCGGCUUAACCGGUACAGGCUCUGGAAACUGGCGGGCUAGAGAGCAGGUGAGGGCGGAGGAACUCCAGGGGUAGCGGUAAAAUGCGUAGAUAUAUGGAAGAACACCAGUGGCGAAGGCGGCCGCCUGGCCUGUUACUGACGCUGAGGCACGAAAGCGUGGGGAGCAAAUAGGAUUAGAUACCCUUGUAGUC